UACAGAGGGGGCAAGCGUUGUUCGGAAUUACUGGGCGUAAAGGGCGCGUAGGCGGCCCGCUAAGUCGAACGUGAAAUCCCCGAGCUCAACUCGGGAACUGCGUCCGAUACUGGUGGGCUUGAAUCCGGGAGAGGGAUGCGGAAUUCCAGGUGUAGCGGUGAAAUGCGUAGAUAUCUGGAGGAAUACCGGUGGCGAAGGCGGCAUCCUGGACCGACAUUGACGCUGAGGAGCGAAAGCUAGGGGAGCAAACGGGG
rnacentral:rRNA from 1 species